UUUCAGUGAGAAGUUUAGAUGUAGCAGCUGUGAAGUUGCUUGGACAGAAGUAUAAUCUGAUAAGCCCUAGAUGGUACCCAGAGAAGAACGGAUAUUUAUAUUUCUCUGAAGAAGCUGAAUGAAAUAUUCUGCUUUCAUCCACAAACACAAACAUCUGAAAAUAGGAAGAAAACAUGAAAUGAAUUGAAAAAGUCUUAUGCAGAUUAAUCAGGAACAAACUACUAUGCAGCCAAGGAUGACCUUGGACUUGAACUUCUCCUUUUCCUGGCUCCAAGU